AAGCGGCCAAGGCUCUGACUGUCCACCAUCCCCAACACUGGCUUUUCUGACCUCAAGGGGAGUUAACAGUGUGAGCACAUAACGGUCAGCACAGCAGGACUCAAGCAGAAAGCAGGGGAGUUGGAGGAAACCUCGUUCCAGCACAGAUGGUCCUGACUGACAACCCCAGCCAGCCUUGGGAGCAAUAGUUGAGAUAAAUCUAAAAUUAUAGGGUCUUCCCACAAAGAUCCUGGAAAGGCAUGGAAAGAGCCUGACUACACUUAAUGGAGAUGCUCCACAGAUGCAAGUUUUUCGCCACAAAAUACAGCUUUGCAAGGUCACUUC